AAUAUUGGACAAAGGGGGGAACCCUGAUCCAGCCAUCCCGCGUGUGUGAAGAAGGUCUUUGGAUUGUAAAGCAUUUUAUGUUGGGAGGGAGAGAUGUAGGCUAACACCGUGCAAUUCUGAGGCUAACAACAGAACAAGCACCGCCUUCCUUCGUGCCAGCAGCCGCGGUAAGACGAAGGGUGCAAGCGUUAAUCGGAAUUACUGGGCGUAAAGCGCGCGUAGGUGGUUCGUUAAGUUGGAAGUGAAAGCCCCGGGCUUAACCUGGGAAUUGCUUUCAAAACUGACGAGCUAGAGUACGGUAGAGGGUAGUGGAAUUUCCUGUGUAGCGGUGAAAUGCGUAGAUAUAGGAAGGAACAUCAGUGGCGAAGGCGACUACCUGGACUGAUACUGACACUGAGGUGCGAAAGCGUGGGGAGCAAACAGG
rnacentral:rRNA from 1 species